AACUUAGGAAUGAUACCCUAUUAUUGAAAAUUAAAUUUAUAAUACUAAAAUAGUAGAUAAUAAUUUAUUGAAACUUAAAUAAUUUGGCGGUAUUUUAGUUCAUUUAGAGGAAUCUGUUUAAUAAUUGAUAAUCCACGAAUAAAUUUACUUAAUUUAAAAUUUUGUAUAUCAUUGUAAAAAAAAUAUUUUUAAAUAAAAAUAAUAUUUAAAAAUUUAAAUUAAAAAUUAAUUCAGAUCAAGAUGCAGAUUAUAAUUAAGCUUAUGAUGGAUUACAAUAAAUAUAUUUAAAUGAAUAAAAAUUUGUAAUUAUAAUUGAAGGUGGAUUUAAAUGUAAUUUUAAUUAGUUUAUAAAAUGAUAUAU
rnacentral:rRNA from 1 species